GUCAGAAAACAGAUAAUCUUCACAAAAAGGAUAACUACAUUCAACACAGGAACUACAGAUCUCCAAGAGAAGAGAUACUACUGUUGCUUCUGAGCCAAAGUGCAUACCUUAAAAAACCUGACAAGGUCAUCAAGGAAUUAACUCAUGGAUUUCUUGGAGCAGUUGGUUCUUUAACUUCAUAAAUUACUUUACAAGAUACAACAUCAUAAAAACAGCUUUGCCACCCUUCUACAGACAUCCCAUGGAGAUAAACAAAAAUUCUUCAGUAAACAAGAAAUGGCAUUAGCUGUUGUAGGGCACUACCACAGGCGGGACAAACAGAAUAAACAAUGAGAAGGCAAGGAACUACACAGUGCUAUGGCGAAAACUCUGAUCCCUCUUCUGAAAGACCAUGGGUGGCAUCUCCAUGACAUCUUUAGUCUUAAGCAGCAGGAGACAGAAAUCCCAAGAUCAUUCCUUAACCUACACUAUCAACAUAGCAGCAGCACCAUGCUGAGCUAUAAUAAUACAGCAGUAACUUGAACAUGUACUCACAUUAACAAGAUAAUGCAAAGAAUAAAACCUGCUAGAUUCAGAAAGGA